UUGUCAUAUCCCUUUUGGUUCCCUGUGUUGCAUACCUUCGAGACGGUAUCCUGUAGGAUAGAAUCGCCCCGUUUCGCCCGACGUCGCGAGGAACAUCGCGACCGAGGGCGAACCGAAAAGCACUCAUCGCGUUCCACCCCGUUCGCGUGACGCGCUGCGGGACACGGCCCGCGAUGACGUGCUCGAAUUCUCGGAUGCGGAUCACAA
rnacentral:misc_RNA from 1 species